UGGCCUCCACCCUCGCCCAGCUGCUGCCUGACUCCACUUCCCCUUUCUAGCCCAGGCAGUGAGUUUCAGGACUGGACCCUUUUACUGCUGCGACAGGAAGGGGCACUGGAACAGACAUGUCCCUGCCCAGCACGUGUGCAGAGCAGGGAGCCCCCAUCUGGCCCUCCAAGCUCCCUGAGCACGGCCUGGGGGAAACGGAAGGCCUCCUGCGCCCGAUGGCUGUGUGGUGGGGUGGGAUGGACGGAGGCCCCUUCCUCAUGGUCACCAAGUGGCUGCGCAUUUCCGGGCGUCUCACACUGACAUGAUGGUGCCGGGCCGGGCAUGCUCAUCCCAGUUGGCCAGAGCCUCCCUGCCUCCGCCUGAGAGCCUGGCACCCUAACCUGGAUGCGCAGCAGCUGCUGCCGGGGCAGGUGUGAAGCCUGGAGUCCUUAUUUCCAGAAUGUUCCGGAUGCUUGGGGAACAGUAGGGAGGUGCCCUCUCUCUGUGUGGUGAUGUCAGGGCACACUCUGGGCCCCGGGCUCUGGGCUUCCAUCUUCAGCAAAGAGGUGAUGAAACCUGAGGAAAGGGCUUCUACGCCGCUGUGGAGGGCAUGAUGUCACCGGGCCUCACGCCCAGGACACACCAGGGCUCCCGCCUCCCGGCCCUUAGGAAAUCCCACCCGGGCGCCAGCUUGCUUCUCCUUUCCCAGUACAGAGAAGCGAGCCACUACCCAGUUUCCCUUUUUGUCCCAGCUGCCGGGAGGCUCAGGCAGAUUUGCAGCUCAGCUCAGGGACGGAUCACGUGGUGCAUUUCCCUUCUGCUUUCCCCCAGGUCCUGAGCUUCC
rnacentral:lncRNA from 1 species